AUUGAACGCUGGCGGCAUGCUUUACACAUGCAAGUCGAACGGCAGCACGGGUGCUUGCACCUGGUGGCGAGUGGCGAACGGGUGAGUAAUGCAUCGGAACGUGCCUAUUAGUGGGGGAUAACGCUUCGAAAGGAGUGCUAAUACCGCAUAAUCUCUGAGGAGGAAAGCAGGGGACCUUCGGGCCUUGCGCUGAUAGAGCGGCCGAUGUCGGAUUAGCUAGUUGGUGAGGUAAAGGCUCACCAAGGCGACGAUCCGUAGCGGGUCUGAGAGGAUGAUCCGCCACACUGGGACUGAGACACGGCCCAGACUCCUACGGGAGGCAGCAGUGGGGAAUUUUGGACAAUGGGCGCAAGCCUGAUCCAGCCAUGCGCGUGAGUGAAGAAGGCCUCGGG
rnacentral:rRNA from 1 species